rnacentral:lncRNA from 1 species
CAUGCUGAGAGUAAUUUUAUCCACGUAUGGAUAAUCAGAUGUGGUGUAAAGUACGGGUUGGUCUGGAGGGAACCGAAAAAUCCAUUCGUCCCAAAAUUUGGGAGUCCACAAUCCCGAGAAUAAGCUUAUGCAUGAAUACCACCCCAUUACAAAUUCUGUGGUGGUGUAAAGAGGGUAGGUCCAAUAGUUUUAGCCUAGAUGGGUAGAAGGUGGAUAGGUAGAUAGGUGGAAGGAGUCUGGCAGAGUCCCAGUUCAAAUUUCUAAGGGCGUUGUUGCUCCUUGUAUUGUGAACUCCACACACAAGAACAUAAAUCCAAUAUCGGGCGAACCAACGAGACGUUCAGUGUUUUAGUUAUAUACGGAUCGUCAAACUCUUUUGAGCAACGCUUAAUAAACGCAUGAACUCCCUUAGCUUUGUUAACAGUUGAAGCAAUAUGGUUAUUAAAACAUAGCUUGUGAUCGAAAAGGACUCCUAAGUCAUUUGAUGUGGAGAUUCGAUCCAGAACAUGGUGUCCUAGAGAAUAGGAGACAAAAUGUGGUGCACGGCGAUGAAAAGUCAUAAGUUUGCACUUGGAAUGGUUUGAACACCAAAUGCUUAAUUCAAUAAGGUCAAGUUGUAGGCGAGUAUGCAAG